UGACGAACCAACAGGUGACUCCAAGGGCGAGGUUUUCCAACGCGCAGGCGCCUUUGGGCAGGACUUUCUAAAUUUCUCUUCAUCUUCAGAGCACCUAACACAAGGCAGGUGCUCGGCAAAGACUUGCCGCCUGGUUUGUAGGUGCAAGUAGGAGCUCCCUGAAAGUGACUUACCUUCCUAGCUACCAGUUGGAUGGCAUCAUCCUCAAAGGCCUUUACAUGUUUGAGUCGGGAUAUUAGGAUCUGCUGCAGUUGGCUAACUCAGCUUAUGGAUCUGUAAGAACAGCUUGAGAACAGCCUUAGGACCUACCAGUCGGCUUGAUACCCGGUUCAUCAUGAUGCGCUCUGGCAGAUCCAUUGUGUUGGCAAUGGUCAGGACCACAAGCUGGGCCUCCUUGUGAGUGGGCCAGUCAAAGAGAUUGUACAUUAUGUCUUGUUUCUGAGUCCAUAGAAGGUCGAGCUGCCAGUAAAUGGAGAGAGAUGUCAAGAUCAAGCAUAGACACAGGGCCAGGGCCCAGAGUGAAGCUCUGUUACUCCUGCUUUAGCUGCAUGUGCUUCUAGGGUCACACCAGGAAAGCAGCAAGGAAGUCCGUGGAUACAUGCCUCUCACCACCAAAGAACAGGCUCAGAUGAAUGAAGGAUGAAAGAAGGGAGGCAGGACUCCCCCCACAACCCAGCAUUUGCCCCUGGAACACCACAGUCAAGUACCAUGCCACUUUUGCGGUGCUCCCGUGGGGAUCUCCGUACCUCAUCCACGAGCAGCACGGUGGUUUCCUGAGAGGACCUUCGGGUGAGGAAUCGCUUUGCCAGCAGUUCUGCCGCAUGGUUAGCUGUUGCCUUUUGGCCUGUCAGCUUCUGCAAUGGGGGGAAAAGUAGGUGUGGUAAAUGGUAAGGAUUUUACUCCCCUGAGCUUGAUGUUAAAUUUGCAAUCAAGUCUGGAAGCAAUUUAGUCUGAGGACUUUAGUAUCCUAAACUCUGCCUUCCAGUCUAGUCUCAACCUUAACCUGGAGGGACGAGAAGGUACCAAAAGAGAUGACAGAGUCCGUGUUUGGAAUGCAAAUGAGCCACAGGCUGGUCCCAGAAGCCUCUUCAAAAUCAUUACGGCAUGACUGUUUAUACCUGGAUAUUACUUGUUCCAAGAAAACAACUAAUGAAUACGAGAGUGAGGUUCAAACUCCAGCUACCUCUAAUCCCUUUUCUAGUCUGCCACAGUACCUCCUGUGUGCAAACAGUUUUUGCCAUAUUAAUAAGUCCUGGCUUGCAGUAAUUCAUGUCCAGCCCCUAGACUUUAAGGUCCCUGAUGUCCCUUGCCCAUGCUACCUCAUACAAAGGACAACACCUGGCACAUCAUAAACAUAGAAAUAAGCACAAAAUUAAGUAAACCUUUCCUUUUUCAUGUGCCACUAAGAAACUGUACUUUCCAAAAAACCCAAACAGCUUUACUCACCUGCAAGAUUUGCACAUAGACUUGGUGGGGUUCUGUCAGCUUCAUGCCAUUGACCUCGAUGUAUUGAAAGGAAGGAACGUCAUUUGCUUGGGCUGCCUGCUGCAGGCAGCGUAUCACCUCGUGCACAGUGGCAGUCUUCCCUGUCCCAGGGACCCCGGAGAUGUACAUGCACCUAUGGCAAGAAAGGAGGACCUGUGGGCUAGGUCUGUGCCAGCUGCCUCACACUAUUGCCAGUUAGAGGUAUGGGGACAUGUGCUGAGGGAAGGACCCAGACCCCUAAAAUGUGGAGAUGGGGUCAAUAAGGGCCAUCCUUGGAAGCUAGUCAGAACAGGACCUGGUUAUACAGAAUCAUUCAUUCUACAAGCAAUGCUGUAUUUUCAUUUUCUCUGAAAGACAGAAUUUCUAUUCCUAUCGAAUUACGUGGACAACAAAAGCUGCUUUAGAAGCCUUAAGUUUGAGCAACGAUUUUGCCUGUUGUGACACUGGGGAGAGACCAUUUGGUUGACUGUGCCACCUGAGAUGGUAUAUGCUAGCAGGGGCCUUCCCCCUGACCGUCUUAUCUGCCUCAGCAGGACUCACCCUCCCGUAUGGUCAAGGAGUUUGCUCUCCACAAAGUUGUAGAUGUUUUGGAAUUCCUGUUCCCGACAGGGAAGAGUCUCAGGUACAGCAGAAACAUGCAGCCUAUAAUUGGUGAUAAAUAAAGGAAAAGGAGGACUUCA